rnacentral:rRNA from 1 species
UUUUAUGGAGAGUUUGAUCCUGGCUCAGGAUGAACGCUGGCGGCGUGCCUAAUACAUGCAAGUCGAGCGAACAGACGAGGAGCUUGCUCCUCUGACGUUAGCGGCGGACGGGUGAGUAACACGUGGAUAACCUACCUAUAAGACUGGGAUAACUUCGGGAAACCGGAGCUAAUACCGGAUAAUAUAUUGAACCGCAUGGUUCAAUAGUGAAAGACGGUUUUGCUGUCACUUAUAGAUGGAUCCGCGCCGCAUUAGCUAGUUGGUAAGGGAACGGCUUACAAGGCAACACUGCGUAUGCGAC